AAGUCGUAACAAGGUUACCGUAGGUGAACCUGCGGUUGGAUCAUUAUUGAAAUGUAUCUACUCUAGGUAGGCUCAUUGGAGUCUACCUAUCUACCUAAAUGUCAACUAUUAUGUCACGGUGGGUUUAUCGGAUGAUGUGUGGUGGUGCUAGUAGUGGUGGUAGUAAUACCUAGUACUGCUACUACUGGUAGUAAUACCUAGUACUGCUACUACUGGUAGUAAUACCUAGUACCCCACUUGAAACACUCGAUAAAACCCCCCCAUUAUAUAAACGUCUUCUCCAGUCAAUCCUCUUUUCUUUAAAAAAGAAAAAACAACUUUUGACAAUGGAUCUCUUGGCUCUC
rnacentral:misc_RNA from 1 species